AGAGUUUGAUCCUGGCUCAGGACGAACGCUGGCGGCGUGCCUAAUACAUGCAAGUCGAGCGGAGUUAUUUAGGAGCUUGCUCCUGAAUAGCUUAGCGGCGGACGGGUGAGUAACACGUAGGCAACCUGCCCUUAAGAUCGGGAUAACAUUCGGAAACGAAUGCUAAGACCGGAUACACGAUUGGGUCGCAUGAUCGGAUC
rnacentral:rRNA from 1 species